rnacentral:rRNA from 1 species
AUACGGAGGGUGCAAGCGUUACUCGGAAUCACUGGGCGUAAAGCGCGCGCUGGCGGUCUUUUAAGUUGGAUGUGAAAGCCUACGGCUCAACCGUAGAACUGCAUCCAAAACUAUUAGACUAGAGUGUGGGAGAGGAAGAUGGAAUUAGUUGUGUAGGGGUAAAAUCCGUAGAGAUAACUAGGAAUACCAAAAGCGAAGGCAAUCUUCUGGAACACUACUGACGCUGAGGCGCGAAAGCGUGGGGAGCAAACAGGAUUAGAAACCCUAGUAGUCC